rnacentral:rRNA from 1 species
AUUGAACGCUGGCGGCAGGCCUAACACAUGCAAGUCGAGCGGAGCGGCGGACGGGUGAGUAAUGCCUAGGAAUCUGCCUGGUAGUGGGGGAUAACGUCCGGAAACGGGCGCUAAUACCGCAUACUAUCAGAUUAGCCUAGGUCGGAAUAGCUAGUUGGUGGGGUAAAGGCCUACCAAGGCGACGAUCCGUAACGGGUCUGAGAGGAUGAUCAGUCACACUGGAAUGUAGACACGGUCCAGACGCCUACGGGAGGCAGCAGUGGGGAAUAGUGGACAAUGGGCGAAAGCCUGAUCCAGCCAUGCCGCGGGUGGGAAGAAGGUCUUCGGAGUGUAAAGCACUGUAAGUUGGGAGGCGUUACCAACAGAAUAAGCACCGGCUAACUUCGUGCCAGCAGCCGCGGUAAUAC